GGAAUUUUCCGCAAUGGGCGCAAGCCUGACGGAGCAACGCCGCGUGAGGGAUGAAGGCCUCUGGGCUGUAAACCUCUUUUAUCAAGGAAGAAGAUCUGACGGUACUUGAUGAAUAAGCCACGGCUAAUUCCGCGCCAGCAGCCGCGGUAAUACGGGAGUGGCAAGCGUUAUCCGGAAUUAUUGGGCGUAAAGCGUCCGCAGGCGGUUUUACAAGUCUGUCGUUAAAGCGUGGAGCUCAACUCCAUUUCAGCGAUGGAAACUGUAAGACUCGAGUGUGGUAGGGGCAGAGGGAAUUCCCGGUGUAGCGGUGAAAUGCGUAGAUAUCGGGAAGAACACCAGUGGCGAAAGCGCUCUGCUGGGCCAUAACUGACGCUCAUGGACGAAAGCCAGGGGAGCGAAAGGGAUUAGAUACCCCUGUAGUCCUGGCCGUAAACGAUGAACACUAGGUGUCGGGGGAAUCGACCCCCUCGGUGUCGUAGCCAACGCGUUAAGUGUUCCGCCUGGGGAGUACGCACGCAAGUGUGAAACUCAAAUGAAUUGACGG
rnacentral:rRNA from 1 species